rnacentral:rRNA from 1 species
GACGAACGCUGGCGGCGUGCUUAACACAUGCAAGUCGAACGGAAAGGCCCUGCUUUUGUGGGGUGCUCGAGUGGCGAACGGGUGAGUAACACGUGAGUAACCUGCCCUUGACUUUGGGAUAACUUCAGGAAACUGGGGCUAAUACCGGAUAGGAGCUCCUGCUGCAUGGUGGGGGUUGGAAAGUUUCGGCGGUUGGGGAUGGACUCGCGGCUUAUCAGCUUGUUGGUGGGGUAGUGGCUUACCAAGGCUUUGACGGGUAGCCGGCCUGAGAGGGUGACCGGCCACAAUGGGACUGAGAUACGGCGCAGACGGCUACGGGAGGCAGCAGGGGGAAAUAUUGCACAAUGGGCGGAAGCCUGAUGCAGCAACGCCGCGUGCGGGAUGACGGCCUUCGGGUUGUAAACCGCUUUCGCCGGUGACGAAGCGUGAGUGACGGUAAUGGGUAAAGAAGCACCGGCUAACUACGUG